rnacentral:lncRNA from 1 species
AUAAAUCACUAAACAAGCAUAGAAAUCUAUUUCAACAAAUAUCCAAUUUCACCAAAUUAAUUAAGUAAAAAGAGCACUAAGAAAUAUAGAUAAAAAUACUAAAGAAUCCCUUACCGUAACCAUGUCGAUUUACUCUUUUGGAAGGGGAGAAAAGAACUUCUAACAUUCCUUGGUCAAGCUCCUUAAACUCCUACUUUUUUCCUUAUGUCUUGCUUCUUUCUCUCUCUAGAAAGUGAAAAUGG